GCGGAAUCUUUAAAAUCGCCUUGAGGGAUACAGAGAGAGACAGCGCAGCUAGGCUGUAUGCACGGGGUUGUGAUAUUAGGCUAAAAUAUUUGCGCGGACCCUGUCAUUGUUAUUACAUGGGAAGCCAAUAAGAAAGCUUCGUUUCGUUUACAACUAAUAAGAGGGCAGAUUGUAAAUAAUCUGAUCUUCACGAUUUUCUAGUAUUCUCCAUUCCUUGGCCAAAGCUUUGGGUUAUGACCAAAAGCAUUUUGAAUUCUUGUUGUACAAAUCUUGUCCUUUGGCUGUGCCUGUGGGGAAUUUCUUUUAGGGUUGGCUUGCUGGUGGGAACUCCAGAGUAGUUUAUAUUAUAGUAUACUUGAUAUAAGAUCAGCCUUUAUCAAAACAUCCACUGUCAGCAUUUUCAAAUUGAGCGAGAGAGUAAGAAUAACGCCUAAAUUCUGAAACAUUCAGAAGUUCAAUGUUACAUAAAAGAAUUUGUAUAUAUCAUAAUAUGUCCAAAAUUUUCUAGAUUAGUUUCAAAGACAUCCAGUUAAAGCUUUUAUUUUUUUAGAGAAUACUAUAUGUAAAAUAUUUUAUUUUUUUAUUUAUAUAUAGAUAUUCUUUUUUUAUAAGAACAUGAAUAUGGAAGAAAGCCCCUUUAAUGUUAUUAACAUUUGAAAUGCAGCCUAUAAAUAUUCUUGAGAUGUUCUUAAUUUACCGUAAAUGACGAAUAAGCACGUGGAGAGGAACCUUAUUUAAUUUCGCCCAUUGCACGGGGCGCUUAAUUGGCAGGGCAGUUAGUUAAGUUGUAGUGCUUAUUCAGCAGGGGGUGAUUAUUCUGUUAUUUACGGUGUUACCGUAAUUUGAUGAUAAUUUCUACAGAUGUAGCACUUGGAAUUUUUAUAUUUUUUUUAUAUUUUUAUUAAAAAAAAUUGUAGUCAAGCUUCACAAAGCCUUACAAUAAUCUUAACAUGUUCUUAAAUUUUAAUACUUAUGUUCUUAUAUACUUUGUUUCGUCAUCAGAACAAAAGACAUUAAUUUUGAACUUA